UACGUAGGGUGCGAGCGUUGUCCGGAAUUACUGGGCGUAAAGCGUGCGCAGGCGGUUCGUGAUGUCUGGUGUGAAAGCCCCGGGCUUAACCUGGGAAUUGCAUUGGAAACUAGCGGGCUGGAGUGUGGCAGAGGGGGGUGGAAUUCCACGUGUAGCAGUGAAAUGCGUAGAGAUGUGGAGGAACACCGAUGGCGAAGGCAGCCCCCUGGGCUAACACUGACGCUCAUGCACGAAAGCGUGGGGAGCAAACAGG
rnacentral:rRNA from 1 species